GUUCGUAUAAGAAAAAAAAAACCGUUAAGUAACUUGUUUUUUUUUUUUAAAUUGAGCAUGAGAAAUCAAGCGAUUGACCUACUUGUUUGCCUUGCAUAUUUACCCAAUACGCCCGUUUCCGUGAGUUAUUUUUGAGCCUUAUAGCUUUAGAUUAUUUUUGCUCAUGUUUUUGCGGGCAAAGAUUGAGUGAGCCGGAUAACUUUUGCGAUUUAGAACUUGUGUUAGGUAUGCAUUUCGAGGCCACAAAGCGAGAAAACAAGCAUAGAAGUGAUUGAGGCAUUAGGAAACCUUUUCAUUUUAGCCAUUUUCAUUCACCUCCCUACCCGAAUUAUUCCCCUAGUUAAACCAAUUUGAGCCUUUCCCGUUCGUUUCUUGAAAACCCCAAAACAUUAGCCACUUAGCCAAAUUAGCCUUUUAUAUUUUUAGCCCAUUUUUGGUUGGAAGCCCGGUUCGGUUAUGAUUAACUUAUAGCUUUUGUAUAGUUCUUCUUAGUUGUUAUAUCCCUCAUGUUCAAGAGUUUUUAGCUAGGUAGACGUACUUAGUUCUCUCCAAAGCAUGGGUUAGUUCUUGUAAAAAAAAAAAAACUAAAGAAAUAUAGUUGAAAAAGCCUUAUCAAAUGGCUUUGUUAGAGCGAUUUUGGGAGCAAAAAGAAAUACUUGUUGGUUAGCUCUCGGUUAGUUACUAUUUAGUUGUAUAGUUCUAUUUUUCUUAUGCUUCAAGUUAGUCAAACCGUCGGGUUACAACCAUUUUAGCCACUUUUCAAAAUCCUCUUCCACACCCUUAACCCAAGCCAAGCUACAACCCAACAAGACCUCAUGAUUUAUGCUAUAUUUUUGCCGAGUGAUUAGAUUUGAUCCUUCCACAAGCUUAUGAUAUCGCAUAGUUAUCGUCUGGGCAUCGAGUGUUCUAAACAUACUCCAUGAAUUGUAUGUGCACCUAUAUUAAGCCGAGUGUGUGUGAACAUUGUGAGGAUGCUUGGUGAAUUGGUAGGGAUUUCUAAGAUGGACCAUUGCUCAUAAACUUAUUUUACAUAUCUCUUUUCGGUUGUUUCUUUAUAUUGAGCACUCCUUGAUUGUUUUGACCCGAGUUAUUUGUUUGUGCUUAUGAAAUGCUAGUUGAGAUGAUUGCCAUUUAGAGAGUUUUGUUGAUUUUAGUUUGCUUGAGGACAAGCAAAGUUCAAGUGUGGGGAUGUUUGAUGUAUAAGAAUUUAUACAUCUUUUAAACGUCAAAUACGCCCCGUUUAUGCGAAAACUCUUUGUAUUUUCAUUGAUUUUGGUACUCAUUUGAGUUGUUUGUGAAAAUACAGGUCCGGGCUUCAGCCCGGUGAUGAAACGGAAGCUUUUGGAGCAAAAUGGAGCUAAAAUGGUGCAUUCCAGCAAACUGCCAGAUAUGGCACUACCGUGCCAAACAGUGGCACGACCGUGCCAAGCCCUCCGACAUCGGCACUCUCAUCCAGCACUAGCACAUUUCGGCCAAACCAUCGAAAUCAGGAGACGCACGACCGUGCCAACCACUGGCACGACCGUGCCAGACCAAAAUCAGCCCCUGAUCAGCCCGUUUCCAAGAUCAGUUCAAUCGUCAUCAAGCACUAUCGGCUCGCACGACCAGAGCAUCAUCGAGCACGGUCGUGCGACCUCGGGAACAUUUGAGCGGGAUUUUUCCAGAAAUGGUAGCAAACAAGAUUGACAGACGAAAAGUGACUCUGACACUUGCCAAGCACGACCGUGCCAAAAGGUGGCAUGGUAGUGCCAAACGCCCAGCAGUUUAAAUACAAGUUUCUAGCUCAUUUGCAAGGGAGUGGGAGUAUUUUGGUGACUUUUUCUCUCAAGAAUCUGGUCUUGGAAGCUUGUUGGAGCCAAGAGGGAGCCUUGAAGAGGAUUAAAUCACUUGAAGAUCUACUCAAACACCAUUUAAUUCUUGUCUUUAACUUGGUUUCUCAUGGAUUAAAAUCAAAGGUUAUUGCUCCUCAUUGUGAUGUUCUUUUAUCUUAGAUACUUUUGGCUGAGACAUCUUAAAAGAAAAAAGAGAUAAUACCUCGGUUAUGUCUGGACACCAUUUUACUUUAGAUUUGUUGCAAGGGAAUGAUACGUGAUGCAUUGAACUCCUACGUAUGUCACGUGAUUCUUUUGUUCGACUUUGCACACAUUUUAGACUAAAAGGUUGGCUAAAAGAUAGUAAACAUGUAUCCCUUGAAGAAAAAAUGGCUAUGUUUUUUAUGAUGCUUGGUCGCAAUCAACGUUUUUCGGCUGUUAAGCAUAGAUUUCAACAUUCGACACAAACAAUUCAUAAGUAUUUUCAUGUAGUAUUGUCAAGAAUGAUGGAGUUUGCUAAAGAGGUUAUUGUACCAACAUCUUUUAAUCCUAAUCCAAAUAUUCCGGGGCAUCAUAAGAGAUUAUGAAAAGUUUUUAAGGGAGCGAUUGGUGCACUUGAUGGUACUUUGAUACAUGCUAUUGUCCCUGUUGAGAAACAACAUUUAUACAGGGGAAAGGGGAAGAGGAAAAGGUGACUGCUAUCAAAAUGUUUUGGCCAUAUGUGACUUCAACAUGAUGUUUACGUUUCUCGUGGCCGGAUGGAAAGGAGUGGCACAUGAUUCUAGAAUAUUGUCCGAAUCUUUAACAAAUGCAAAUGCACCAUUUCCAUUUCCUCCUCCGGAUAAAUAUUAUCUAUGUGAUGCUUCUUAUGCACACACUCGAGGCUUUAUGGCACCAUAUAGAAACGACAAGGAAAAAUUCAACCACGCACAUGCAAAGCUUAGAAAUGUUGUUGAACGUGUGUAUGGUGUAUUAAAAGCACAUUUUCCAAUAUUAAAGAAAAUGGCUCCCUUUUCGUUGGUUACGCAACGAAAUAUUACCGUUGCAUGUUUUGCGCUUCACAAUUUUAUACGGAAAAGGGUUUAUGUGACAACUGUC